ensembl:misc_RNA
CUGACAGACAGGUGGUCUUUAUUUAUUCACAGAACAGAUACAGCACAGGCAAUAGCAGUGCAGACUUCCAUACAUACCCUGGAGGGACCAGCUGUAGAGGAGGGAGACUGUAGGUCAUUCAACCCAUUCACUCCUUAGGCUCA